GCGCGAAACCUCCGCAAUGCGAGCAAUCGCGACGGGGGGACCCCAAGUGCCACUCUUAACGGGGUGGCUUUUCUCAAGUGUAAAAAGCUUUUGGAAUAAGGGCUGGGCAAGACCGGUGCCAGCCGCCGCGGUAACACCGGCAGCCCAAGUGGUGGCCAUUUUUAUUGGGCCUAAAGCGUUCGUAGCCGGCCUGAUAAGUCUCUGGUGAAAUCCCGCAGCUUAACUGUGGGAAUUGCUGGAGAUACUAUCAGGCUUGAGGUCGGGAGAGGUUAGAGGUACUCCCAGGGUAGGGGUGAAAUCCUAUAAUCCUGGGAGGACCACCUGUGGCGAAGGCGUCUAACUGGAACGAACCUGACGGUGAGUAACGAAAGCCAGGGGCGCGAACCGGAUUAGAUACCCCGG
rnacentral:rRNA from 1 species